rnacentral:rRNA from 1 species
CCUACGGGAGGCAGCAGUGGGGAAUCUUGCGCAAUGGGCGAAAGCCUGACGCAGCGACACCGCGUGCGGGAUGAUGGCCUUAGGGUCGUAAACCGCUUUCGGCAGGGACGAAGCGAAAGUGACGGUACCUGCAGAAGAAGGUCCGGCUAACUACGUGCCAGCAGCCGCGGU